GUUGCUGGUCGUGAGCAUUGUUUGUGCAGCUCAAGCGCCUUGUAAGCGGAUGGUCAGGGGUUCGAGUCCCCUCAGCGGCUCCG
rnacentral:tRNA from 1 species